AUUGAACGCUGGCGGCAGGCCUAACACAUGCAAGUCGAGCGGAUGAAGGGAGCUUGCUCCUGGAUUCAGCGGCGGACGGGUGAGUAAUGCCUAGGAAUCUGCCUGGUAGUGGGGGAUAACGUCCGGAAACGGGCGCUAAUACCCCAUACGUCCUGAGGGCGAAAGGGGGGGAGCUUCGGACCUCCCGCUAUCGGAUGAGCCUAGGUCGGAUUAGCUAGUUGGUGGGGUAAAGGCCUACCAAGGCGACGAUCCGUAACUGGUCUGAGAGGAUGAUCAGUCACACUGGAACUGAGACACGGUCCAGACUCCUACGGGAGGCAGCAGUGGGGAAUAUUGGACAAUGGGCGAAAGCCUGAUCCAGCCAUGCCGCGUGUGUGAAGAAGGUCUUCGGAUUGUAAAGCACUUUAAGUUGGGAGGAAGGGCAGUAAGUUAAUACCUUGCUGUUUUGACGUUACCAACAGAAUAAGCACCGGCUAACUUCGUG
rnacentral:rRNA from 1 species